rnacentral:rRNA from 1 species
AGAGUUUGAUCAUGGCUCAGAACGUACGCUGGCGGCACGCCUAACACAUGCAAGUCGAACGCAGUAGCAAUACUGAGUGGCAGACGGGUGAGUAACAUGUGGGAAUCUGCCUUGUGGUUCAGGACAACAUUGGGAAACCGAUGCUAAUACUGGAUAAGCCCUUACGGGGAAAGUUUUAAUGCCAAAAGAUGAGCCCGCACUUGAUUAGCUAGUUGGUAAGGUAAAAGCUUACCAAGGCAAUGAUCAAUAGCUGUUCUUAGAGGAAGACCAGCCACAUUGGGACUGAGACACGGCCCAGACUCCUACGGGAGGCAGCAGUGGGGAAUCUUGCACAAUGGGGGAAACCCUGAUGCAGCGAUGCCGCGUGAGUGAAGAAGGCCUUUGGGUUGUAAAACUCUUUCGUCGGGGAAGAAAAUGACUGUACCCGAAUAAGAAGGUCCGGCUAACUUCGUGCCAGCAGCCGCGGUAAUACGAAGGGACCUAGCGUAGUUCGGAAUUACUGGGCGUAAAGAGUAUGUAGGCGGCUAGAUAAGUUAAUUGUGAAAGCCCAAAGCUUAACUUUGGAAUUGCAAUUAAAACUAUUUAGCUAGAGUAUGAUAGAGGAAAGCGGAAUACAUAGUGUAGAGGUGAAAUUCGUAGAUAUUAUGUAGAACACCAGUUGCGAAGGCGGCUUUCUGGAUCAUUACUGACGCUGAGAUACGAAAGUAUGGGUAGCGAAGAGGAUUAGAUACCCUCGUAGUCCAUACUGUAAACGAUGAUUAUUAGAUGUGGGGAAUUAUUUCUCUGUAUCACAGCUAACGCGUUAAAUAAUCCGCCUGGGGAGUACGACCGCAAGGUUAAAACUCAAAUGAAUUGACGGGGACCCGCACAAGUAGUGGAGCAUGUGGUUUAAUUCGAAGAUACGCGCAGAACCUUACCAACACUUGACAUGUUCGUCGCGACUCUAAGAGAUUAGAGUUUUCGGUUCGGCCGGACGAAACACAGGUGCUGCAUGGCUGUCGUCAGCUCGUGUCGUGAGAUGUUGGGUUAAGUCCCGCAACGAGCGCAACCCUCACUUUUAGUUGCCAUCAUUAAGUUGGGCACUCUGAAAGAACUGCCAGUGAUAAGCUGGAGGAAGGUGGGGAUGACGUCAAGUCCUCAUGGCCCUUACGUGUUGGGCUACACACGUGCUACAAUGGUAUCUACAACAGGAAGCAAGACUGCGAGGUCAAGCAAAUCCUUAAAAGAUACCUCAGUUCGGAUUGCACUCUGCAACUCGAGUGCAUGAAGCUGGAAUUACUAGUAAUCGUGGAUCAGCGUGCCACGGUGAAUGCGUUCCCGGGUCUUGUACACACCGCCCGUCACACCAUGGGAGUUGGUUCUACCUUAAGGCAAGGUUUCAAACCCUUGACCACGGUAUAGUCAGCGACUGGGGUGAAGUCGUAACAAGGUAGCCGUA